GACGAACGCUGGCGGCGUGCUUAACACAUGCAAGUCGAACGGAAAGGCCCUGCUUUUGUGGGGUGCUCGAGUGGCGAACGGGUGAGUAACACGUGAGUAACCUGCCCUUGACUUUGGGAUAACUUCAGGAAACUGGGGCUAAUACCGGAUAGGAGCUCCUGCUGCAUGGUGGGGGUUGGAAAGUUUCGUCGGUUGGGGAUGGACUCGCGGCUUAUCAGCUUGUUGGUGGGGUAGUGGCUUACCAAGGCUUUGACGGGUAGCCGGCCUGAGAGGGUGACCGGCCACAUUGGGACAGAGAUGCGGCCCAGACUCCUACGUGAGGCAGCAGUGGGGAAUAUUGCACAAUGGGCGGAAGCCUGAUGCAGCAACGCCGCGUGCGGGAUCACGGCCUUCGGGUUGUAAACCGCUUUCGCCUGUGACGAAGAGUGAGUGACGGUAAUGGGUAAAGAAGCACCGGCUAACUACGUG
rnacentral:rRNA from 1 species